rnacentral:lncRNA from 1 species
UGAACCUUCAGUUUUCAAAGGAUUCUCACAAAUUAAGAUCAACUGGACAUGAGCUUACAGGAAAAAAAAUUACAAAACCCACGAGGAAACAAGCCCCAGUGAGAGCAGAAACAACACAGCAAAAUGAGGCACGCUCCUUCAUCAGACACUGGAAUUUUCAUGUAGAGAAUAUAAAACAAAUAUGUUUAAAAUAUUUAAAGAAAUAAAGAGGGUAUAAAAACAUAAGAAGUAAAGGACAAAUGGGUAAGGUCAGAGAUAAAAUUAAAAAUUCUAGAUAUAAAAUAGAUAAAUAAUUUCAAUGGAAGAGUUAAACAGAUGGGAUACAGAUGAAGAGGAGAUAAAGCUAGAUUUUAAAAAGUUAGCCAGAAUGCAGCACAGACAUAAUUAGAAAUGUAAGGAAUUAAAAGACAUGGAGAGCCGGGGGGGUGAGGUCGCUGGCGCUGGGCUCCGUCCCCUGCACAUCCGGGCCUCACAGGCACCGGGCGAGAAGCAUGGGAGCCGCGGGGGUCCCGGACCAGCACGGAGGAGAAAGCUGAAGGAACAGACCUGCGGGCAUGGCCCCUGGGGGAUGCGGGGACUCGGCCUCCUUCUGCAUCUUAGGAUUGGAAACCACACUCACCCGUUCAGCUGAGAAAAAGUUUACUUUGCCAGAGAACAGAAGUCGGAGAAGAGCAAUCAGGAGAAUACAACUAUUGCAAGCAAAAGAGACUUUACUGAAGACAACUUGAAAUGCAAGCUAAGUGUGCUUUUCUGUGGUAAUUAUUGAUAAGGAAAUGCAUUUUACUUCCUCAGCUAAGUCCAGGAAUGGUUAGUCACUUCGGUUUUUCAGAAGUUAAAGGGGUAAAAAGUCUGAGUAAUUCCUACACAGCGUGUUGGAAUUGGUAGUACUUUAAAAAUGAUUAUAAUCAUAAUUCUGAGUCAUCAUUAAACCUUGCUCUCAGAAGACAAAAAGCGGGUGGGGGAGAGAGAAAUCAAAUAUAGAGUUCUGGAAGAAGAAAAUAGAAAGGGUGAGGCAAUACUUAAAGAGAAAAUAGAGAAUUUCCUGACUUAACAAAAGACACACAUAUCUUCAGAAUGAGGAAGGAAACAUUUCCAAGACAGGACACACACAUCCCCUGGAUGCAUCAGUGUGAAACUGUAGUGUAUCAAUGAGAAAUAAAUAUUCACAGAGAAAGAAUACUUACAAAGAUACUGUAAUUAGUCCGACAUCAGAUCUCAGCAACCGUGUUAGCACAUAGUAGAAAACUGUCUUCAGUGAACUGAUAGAAAAUAACUGCCAACUUACAAUUGUAUAUUCAGCCAAACUCAUUCAAGUACAAAAAGAGAGAAAGUAAAUGCAUUCAUAUGAGAAAUAUACAAAUAUUAAAGCAAGCAUUAUUAGAGGGCUUUAUUAUCUUUUGCUAUGUAAUAAGCCAUUCCAAAACACAGUGACUUAAAAUAACAAUCAUUUAUUUAGUUCACAACUGGGAAGUUUGGCAAUUUGGCCUGGACUGAACAUGGUGGUUCCCUGGUUCCAGAGACCAGUUGUCCCUUUGAAUUAAAAGCUCACUGAGGCAGCAGCCACCAUCUUCCAGUGGUCAGUCUAGCAAACCUUGCAAUUUGCUCAAAAAACAGGGCACUUGAUGAAGUGGAAUAAUGGAGAGCCAAC